GACAGUCUAUUUAUUUCAUAGGACUGGCGAUUCUUCAAGCUUCUGCCAUAUAUAGACCAGCCAGCUUCUGGGGUAUGACUGGAGCAGGGCUGAAGAUCCCAAGAAUCUAGGAGUCUCUGGAAGGUCGCUUGGAGCAGGUCCAGGUCCUCACCUGCCAAGUCUCCUCGAGCCCAGCGGGAACGGCAGAGCGGGGCCAGCCUGAGGCGACAAAGUGGGAGAAUGACGCAUAUCAGGCAGGGAGCACCUUCUCCGCUGCGAUUCCUCGUUCCAUCAUCGCCUCACCAUUUUCCCAAACCGGUGGCAACAACGGGCCAGCGCGGUUGGGUUUCCUGGUCAGGGAACCGAAUGUUACGGAACCUGCUCUGGAUCACCCGGCGGAAGAACCAAGCGGCACUUGGGCAUCUUGGAAGGCAGGAGGUUUAUUUCACAUCGGUGGGUUCAGAGGAGAUUGUUCUCCAGAGGUCUGAGCCCGAAGCCCCGGAGCGCAAGCAUGGGGGACAAUUUAUAGUCUGUUACUUCCGCAUUAGUAGUAAUUUGGCGCGCAUGCGCAACAAGCAAGGUAGGAAGAAGAACCCGGAAGGGGAAUCUUCGGAUGGGGACUGGAAUUUCCCUACCAGUCCUGUCGGCCACUUUAUCGUUUUUCCCUACCAGACUGACUAGAAGACAGAGGCCACUGACAGAGAUUCUAAACCAGGGGCUGCAAACUCAGCACACCUAGGAUUUGUUUGGCUAGCAGAAUAUUUUUAAAAAAUGGAACCAGCAUUUACAAAUCGUGCGAUUUCUGAAAAUCCAGAUUUGGGUCUUCGCUGAGACACUGGAAGAUUUGACAGCAGUGGACCCACAGCAGCGAUUGGUUAGAGUGGGGCGGUCUCAGUGUGAAAAGUCUGAUUUGUGUAUGCCAGGUCUCAAGACGCUUGCCUGCGGAUGAGCUCUUUCAACUGUGCCAGUCUGUCACUUCUUAGUGCUUCCCGGAUGGAGUGGAAAAAACCAAAAUAGUG